GACGAACGCUGGCGGCGUGCUUAACACAUGCAAGUCGAACGGGAAACUUUAUUUCGGUAAAGGAUCUAGUGGCAAACGGGUGAGUAACGCGUAGGCAACCUGCCCUUAGGAUGGGGACAACGGCCCGAAAGGACCGCUAAUACCGAAUGCACUCUAACUUCCGCAUGGAAGAAAGAGGAAAGAUGGUGCAAGCCAUCGCCGAAGGAAGGGCCUGCGUCUGAUUAGCCAGUUGGUGAGGUAACGGCUCACCAAAGCGACGAUCAGUAGCCGGUCUGAGAGGAUGAACGGCCACAAUGGGACUGAGACACGGCCCAUACUCCUACGGGAGGCAGCAGUGGGGAAUCUUCCGCAAUGGGCGAAAGCCUGACGGAGCAACGCCGCGUGAGUGAAGAAGGUCUUCGGAUCGUAAAGCUCUGUUGUUGGGGACGAAAGAAAAGGGGAGGAAAUGCCCUUUUAA
rnacentral:rRNA from 1 species